rnacentral:rRNA from 1 species
UCGAGCGGUAGAGAGAACUUGCUUCUCUUGAGAGCGGCGGACGGGUGAGUAAUGCCUAGGAAUCUGCCUGGUAGUGGGGGAUAACGUUCGGAAACGGACGCUAAUACCGCAUACGUCCUACGGGAGAAAGCAGGGGACCUUCGGGCCUUGCGCUAUCAGAUGAGCCUAGGUCGGAUUAGCUAGUUGGUGAGGUAAUGGCUCACCAAGGCGACGAUCCGUAACUGGUCUGAGAGGAUGAUCAGUCACACUGGAACUGAGACACGGUCCAGACUCCUACGGGAGGCAGCAGUGGGGAAUAUUGGACAAUGGGCGAAAGCCUGAUCCAGCCAUGCCGCGUGUGUGAAGAAGGUCUUCGGAUUGUAAAGCACUUUAAGUUGGGAGGAAGGGUUGUAGAUUAAUACUCUGCAAUUUUGACGUUACCGACAGAAUAAGCACCGGCUAACUCUGUGCCAGCAGCCGCGGUAAUACAGAGGGUGCAAGCGUUAAUCGGAAUUACUGGGCGUAAAGCGCGCGUAGGUGGUUUGUUAAGUUGGAUGUGAAAUCCCCGGGCUCAACCUGGGAACUGCAUUCAAAACUGACUGACUAGAGUAUGGUAGAGGGUGGUGGAAUUUCCUGUGUAGCGGUGAAGUGCGUAGAUAUAGGAAGGAACACCAGUGGCGAAGGCGACCACCUGGACUAAUACUGACACUGAGGUGCGAAAGCGUGGGGAGCAAACAGGAUUAGAUACCCUGGUAGUCCACGCCGUAAACGAUGUCAACUAGCCGUUGGAAGCCUUGAGCUUUUAGUGGCGCAGCUAACGCAUUAAGUUGACCGCCUGGGGAGUACGGCCGCAAGGGUAAAACUCAAAUGAAUUGACGGGG